rnacentral:rRNA from 1 species
UACGUAGGGUGCAAGCGUUGUCCGGAAUUAUUGGGCGUAAAGAGUUCGUAGGCGGUUUGUCGGGUCGAAUGUGAAAACCCGGGGCUCAACCCCGGGCCUGCAUUCGAUACAGGCAGACUAGAGUUCGGUAGGGGAGUCUGGAAUUCCUGGUGUAGCGGUGAAAUGCGCAGAUAUCAGGAGGAACACCGAUGGCGAAGGCAGGUCUCUGGGCAUUAACUGACGCUGAGGAGCGAAAGCAUGGGGAGCGAACAGG